GAUGAACGCUGGCGGCGUGCCUAAUUCAUGCAAGUCGAGCGAACAGACGAGGAGCUUGCUCCUCUGACGUUAGCGGCGGACGGGUGAGUAACACGUGGAUAACCUACCUAUAAGACUGGGAUAACUUCGGGAAACCGGAGCUAAUACCGGAUAAUAUAUUGAACCGCAUGGUUCAAUAGUGAAAGACGGUUUUGCUGUCACUUAUAGAUGGAUCCGCGCCGCAUUAGCUAGUUGGUAAGGUAACGGCUUACCAAGGCAACGAUGCGUAGCCGACCUGAGAGGGUGAUCGGCCACACUGGAACUGAGACACGGUCCAGACUCCUACGGGAGGCAGCAGUAGGGAAUCUUCCGCAAUGGGCGAAAGCUUGACGGAGCAACGCCGCGUGAGUGAUGAAGGUCUUCGGAUCGUAAAACUCUGUUAUUAGGGAAGAACAAAUGUGUAAGUAACUAUGCACGUCUUGACGGUUCCUAAUCAGAAAGCCACGGCUAACUACGUG
rnacentral:rRNA from 1 species